rnacentral:rRNA from 1 species
CUUGCCAAGUUCCUUGGAACAGGACGUCCUAKAGGGUGAGAGCCCCGUGUCGGCUUGAGUGACCUUGGCCAUGUGAAGCUCCUUCGAAGAGUCGAGUUGUUUGGGAAUGCAGCUCUAAGCGGGAGGUAAAUUUCUUCUAAAGCUAAAUAUUCGGUGUCUCCGAUAGCGAACAAGUAGAGUGAUCGAAAGAUGAAAAGCACUUUGGAAAGAGAGUUAAAAAGCACGUGAAAUUGUUGAAAGGGAAGCGCUUGCCCCCAGACUUGCCUUUAGUUGCUCAGCCUCCCAUUUGGGUGGUGUAUUCUUCUAUCGGCGGGCCAGCGUCAGCUUUGGCGGCCGGAUAAAGGCCUUGGGAAUGUAGCUUCUCUCGGGCAGUGUUAUAGCCCAGGGUGCAAUGCGGYCAGCCGGGGUUGAGGACCGCGUUCUGCUAGGAUGCUGGCGUAAUGGGUGCAAGCGACCCGUCUUGAAACACGGACCAAGGAGUCGACCAUGUAUGCGAGUGUUUGGGCGUUAAACCCACACGCGUAAUGAAAGUGAACGGAGGUGGGAACCCGCAAGGGUGCAUCAUCGACCGAUCCUGAUGUCUUCGGAUGGAUUUGAGUAAGAGCAUUCCUGGUCGGACCCGAAAGAUGGUGAACUAUGCCUGAAUAGGGUGAAGCCAGAGGAAACUCUGGUGGAGGCUCGCAGCGGUUCUGACGUGCAAAUCGAUCGUCAAAUUUGGGUAUAGGGGCGAAAGACUAAUCGAACCAUCUGGUAGCUGGUUCCUGCCGAAGUUUCCCUCAGGAUAGCAGUAACGUAUUCAGUUUUAUGAGGUAAAGCGAAUGAUUAGAGGCCUCGGGGAUGAAACAUCCUUAACCUAUUCUCAAACUUUAAAUAUGUAAGAAGCUCUUGUUGCUUAAUUGAACGUGAGCAUUCGAAUGUACCGUUACUAGUGGGCCAUUUUUGGUAAGCAGAACUGGCGAUGCGGGAUGAACCGAACGUGGGGUUAAGGUGCCGGAAUGCACGCUCAUCAGACACCACAAAAGGUGUUAGUUCAUCUUGACAGCAGGACGGUGGCCAUGGAAGUCGGAAUCCGCUAAGGAGUGUGUAACAACUCACCUGCCGAAUGAACUAGCCCUGAAAAUGGAUGGCGCUUAAGCGUGUUACCUAUACCCCACCGCCGGGCCAAAUACGAGGGCCCGGCGAGUAGGCAGGCGUGGGGGU